CAAUGAGGGAAAUCCAUAAAAUGUGAUAAUUAUAGUUGGUGAGUAGGGAAUUAUUCUGAUUUAUGAACUGAAGAUAUACAAAUUAAACAGUGAACUAGAUGGCAUAGCUACAUACUGCAGAAUAUCGUGGAAUGCCUCCCAUACAUUAAUUCUGUUAAACCAAAUGCAGUACUUGUUUUGCGUACAGCAUUCUAUGUCUAUCAUAUAUGCAGAGGUAAGCACAAUGGAGACAGAGUGAUUUUAAUAGUUGAUUUCAAGACCCUGGAAUGUGUUUUCAGUUAGCAUAUGGAAUGGAGGAAGUAUCAACAGUAAACCAGAGGAAAGUUUCUCGGAUAUACAGAUUUAAAAGGAGCAAAAACAUCUAGUUGAACCCAAAAUAUUCACAGAAGUCAAGGCAAUGUGUGAUGAGAGAGAAAGCAACUUGGGGGCAUGUCAUAGAUAGAUUCGAGGGGGUGGUUACGUAGAGCGAGGCUUUGGUGGUAGGGUAAAAUAAUCUGUGUAUGUAAAGGUCAUAGUUCGAGGAGAUGGAUAGUGUAGGAGAUUCGUCGAGUGAGUGAGACGAAGAGAAAUGGCCAUGAGAAAGAUGACCAGAGAGAAGCAACGAUGGGUUAAGACUAUAGGCUACUUUCCUUUUACUUAAUCUACUAGGUUUAUGUCCAUACAUUGCGACAUCACCUACCAAAUGUUUAUCACCAAAAGGGAACACAUGAAAAAAAUACUUUGUUAGGGAAAAAGACAACAAUAGUUUCCAUCAUGUCGUCAAAACAUAUGCUAGUAACUGGAAACCAGCGCUGCAUCACACAAGCAAAUGCAAAGGAUUUCCAGUUGUCUAUGCACAUAUUUAGUUAGCAGCUUUGCCAACGGAACUAAAACCAGA
rnacentral:lncRNA from 1 species